UACGUAGGGUGCGAGCGUUGUCCGGAAUUAUUGGGCGUAAAGGGCUCGUAGGCGGUUUGUCGCGUCGGGAGUGAAAACCUACAGCUUAACUGUGGGCGUGCGGUCGAUACGGGCAUCACUGGAGUUCGGCAGGGGAGACUGGAAUUCCUGGUGUAGCGGUGAAAUGCGCAGAUAUCAGGAGGAACACCGGUGGCGAAGGCGGGUCUCUGGGCCGAUACUGACGCUGAGGAGCGAAAGCGUGGGGAGCAAACAGG
rnacentral:rRNA from 1 species